GGCCCCACUAGGAAAGUAGCGUGUCUAGUCAGUGGUAAAUUUGUCAUCAAGAAGAGAGUUCAGAAAAGCCUAACUAGAGUUUGCUUGCUUGAGGAGAGAAUCUUUGUCAACACACACACACACACACACACAGCCUUAAAAAAGCAGGCUUGUUCUUUUCCCUGCACUAAGAUGACUUCAUUUUAAUCAGGGUUCUCACUUUUCCAGGAAGGGCCACACCUCUUGCUUUCUUCUGACUCUUUUAUUAUUCAUAAAGAACAUCCCAUUUGUAUUAUUCCAUUCUCACACUGCUAUAAAAAUACUACCAUAGACUGGGUAAUUUAUAAACAAAGGAGGUUUAAUUGACUCACAGUUCUGCAUGGCUGAGAGGCCUCAGGAAACUUACAAACAUAUGGCGGGAGGGGAAGCAGGCACCUUCUUCACAAUGUCGCAGGAGGCGGGGUGAGUAUGUGAAGGAGGAACUGUCAAACACUUAUAAAACCAUCUGAUCUCAUGAGAACUCACUCACUAUCAUGAGAACAGCAUGGGGGGAACCACCCCCAUGAUCCAAUAACUUCCCACCACAUCCCUCCCAUACAUAACAUGUCAGGAUUAUGGGGAUUACAAUUCAAGAUGAGAUUUGGGUGGGUAGAGACAGCCAAACCAUAUCAUUCUGCCCCUGGCCCCUCCCAAAUCAUGUCCUCACAUUUCAGAAGACAAUCAUGCCUUCCCAACAGUCCCCCAGAGUCUCAAGUUAUUCCAGGAUUAGCCCAAAAGUCCAAGUCUACAGUCUCAUCUGAGACAAGGCAAGUCCCUUCCAUCUAGGAGUCUGUAAAAUCAAAAGCAAGUUUCAUUACUUCCAACAUACAAUGGGGGUACAGGAGUUGGAUAAAUGCUCCCAUUCCAAAUGAAAGAAAUUGACCAAAACAAGGUGGCUACAGGUGCUACACUAGUCCAAAAUCCAGCAGGGGAGUCAUUAAAUCUUAAAUUUCCAAAGUAAUCUCCUUUGACUCCGUGUCUCAGAUCCAGGGCAUGCUGAUACAAGGAGUAGGCUCCACAGCCUUGGGCAGCUCCUUCAUGGGCUGGCAUUGAGUGCCCACAGCUUUUCCAGGCACAUGGUGCGAUCUGUCAGUGAAUUGACCAUUCUGGGGUCUGGAAGACAGUGGCCCUCUUCUCACAGAUCCACUAGGCAGUGCCCCAGUGGGGAGUCUGUGUGGGGGCUCCAACCCCACAUUUCCCUUCUAUACUGCUCUAGUAGAAAGUCUCCAUGAGGGCUCCACCCCUGCAGCAGACUUCUGCCUGGAUACCCAGGCAUUUCCAUACAUCCUCUGAAAUCUAGGCAGAGGUUUCCAAACCUCAAAUUCUUGACUUACAGGUACCUGCAAACCCAACACCACAUGGAAACAACCAAGGCUAGAGGCUUGCACCCUCUGAAGCAAUGGUCCAAGCUGUACCUUGGCCUCUUUUAGCAACAGCUGGAGCUGAAGUGGCUGGGGGAUUAGGGAGGCCCUGGGCCUAACCCAUGAAACCAUUUUUCUUCCUAGGCCUCUGGGCCUGUGACAGAAGGGGCUGCCACCAAGAUCUCUGACAUGCCCUAGAGAUGUUUUCCCCAUUGUCUUGGGGAUUAGUAUUCGGCUCCUCACUACUUAUGCAAGCUUCUGCAGACAGCUUCAAUUUCUCCCCAGAAAAUGGUUCUUUCUUUUCUAUCACAUCAUCAGGCAGCAAAUUUUCCAAACUUUUAUGCUCUACUUCCCUUUUAAACAUAAGCUUUAAUUCCAAACCAUCUCUUUGUGAACACAUAAAACUGAACACUUUCAGAG
rnacentral:lncRNA from 1 species